UCUAUGUUCUUCCUCUGUAAGUGUCGAGUGAUGAAUUUGAGAGUGAGGUUGUGAAUUAGUUUGAGAGAACCAAUUGAUGGAGUGGUAGAGAUGGUGGAGGCUGUUGUUGAUGAAGAAGAAGAGAUGAGUCAGAGAACCAAGUCAGGGUUUUCAGUGAAUAGAAAUUGGAGUUUCGAAUUGGUGAUGAUUAAGGUGAAAUUAAAGGUGGGUUUGAAGGUUAUAACCUGAAGAUGAAGUCGGUUAUGUCAAUUUAGAGGAUUUGACUAUAAAGAAGAUCUCAAUUCGAGAAAGUUGUAGAGUUAGGGUUCUGUGAAGAAGAAGAAUAGAGGACUAGGGUUUUAGGUUCGAUUUUAGGCUUGCAUGGGAUUGAUACAUGAAUUGAGGAUUGGGUUUAGAUGAUUGAGGAACGGGAUGAAGUUAAACUGAACAUGGAGUUGUUCUGUGAAGUAUCUAAGAAUUAGGGUUUUCUCAGAAGGUUGUUUAGAAAUUCGAUUAGUGAUGAAUGAGACGAAAUUGAGAUGGGUUUAUGUUUAAUUGAACGAUAUGAAGUUGUUUUAGAGAAGAAUCAAAGAGUUAGGGUUUCACUGGAAUUUCGAUUAGAUAUGAAUAACAAGAGUUAAGGAGUGGAUUUGUCGAUUGAUGAACAUGGUGAAGUUAACUGGAUGUUUAUGAAGCUGAUGAAGAAUUAGGGUGUGGUUCUGCGAUUAAGAAGGCAGAAGAGCUAGAUGAAUGUUAAGUUGAUUACAGAUGGUAGUUUUGAGAUGAAUAGUGUUUGUAAUAGAUGAACUGAAUUGUUAUGGUUGAAUUAGACUGAGAUGAAGAUAUGUAAGUUGCACAUUAGUGAGGUUGGCAUCCAGAGAUGGUGGUUGUCUGUGUAUGUAUGCUUGCAGGGGUGGAAUGAUUGUUGCAGGACAUGAAUGUACCUUGGUUGUGUCUGAAGAUGUAGGUGGUGCAGAAUUGGUUGUAGAGAAUUGUAAAUGUUGAUCACCAGAUAUGUGUAUGUGUUGGUAUGAAAUAGCAUGGAUUUAUUCUUGAGAGAGUUGGGAAAAUGGAGGUGGUAUUUGGUGGAUAUAAUGGGAUCCAAGAAAUCUCAGUUACAACAUGGUGGAACUGAACUUGGUGGUAACGGUGUUUAACUGAAGUUCUACUGUUUUGAGUGAAGAGGUUAUAGAUGAUGAAAUUGUUGUGAUGAGUAGUUGCAGGGGAUGGAUUGCAGAUAUGUGCAACUGUAGAGGGGUUGUUUGUAAUGAAGAUGAUGUUGCUAUUGGUGAUUUAUGUUGAGUGUUGAAGUAUUGAACUGAGAUGCAAGUCUGAAGCUAGGAUUGUUACAGAAUUGAAGGUGGUAAUGAAGUUGAAUGCCAUAAAUUAGUUUGUAGUUGGACUGAACCUGCAGUAAUAGUGGUGUUGUCGUGUGUUUGAGAGUUGCAGGCUGGAAAGGUGUAAUUGAGAAUGAGUUUGGUAGGAUGAAGGAAGGUUAAAUUGUUGAAAAGCUUGCAACUACUGCAAUUGCAGUUAGUCAUUAACAACGAUCGAUUCAAAGGAUGAACCAGUGGAUCGUGGAUCUCAAGGUAGACGUGGCUUGUCAUCAAAAGAGUUUCAGAGACAGAUCAGAGUUGCGCAGCGAAAGCUUCAAGGAUUGAUUUCGUUAGAUUGUUAAUUUUUACUAUGUUUAUUAUAUUGCUUAUUGUAUUUGUAAACCGAAUGACUAUUGUAUAUGUAUCAUUUGAGAGGAGUUCUUGUAUGUAUAUAUUUCUGAGCGUGGCUA